rnacentral:rRNA from 1 species
UACGUAGGGUGCAAGCGUUGUCCGGAAUUAUUGGGCGUAAAGAGCUCGUAGGCGGUCUGUCGCGUCCGUUGUGAAAAACUCGAGGCUCAACCCUCGGGGCUUGCAGUGGAUACGGGGCAGACUAGAGUGCGGUAGGGGGAGACUGGAAUUCCUGGUGUAGCGGUGAAAUGCGCAGAUAUCAGGAGGAACACCCGGUGGCGAAGGCGGUUCUCUGGGCAUGUCCUGACGCUGAGGAGCGAAAGUGUGGGGAGCGAACAGG